rnacentral:rRNA from 1 species
GACGAACGCUGGCGGCGUGCUUAACACAUGCAAGUCGAACGAUGAAGAAGAGAAACGCGAACUUCGGUUCAAAUUUCACUUCGGAUUAGUGGCAGACGGGUGAGUAACGCGUGAGCAACCUACCUCUUACAAAGGGAUAGCCUCGGGAAACCGUGAUUAAUACCAUAUGACACAUUCAUAAGGCAUCUUAAGACUGUUAAAGCUACGGCGGUAAGAGAUGGGCUCGCGUCCCAUUAGCUAGUUGGUGAGGUAACGGCCCACCAAGGCGACGAUGGGUAACCGGCCUGAGAGGGUGAACGGUCACAGUGGAACUGAGACACGGUCCAAACUCCUACGGGAGGCAGCAGUGGGGAAUAUUGCACAAUGGAGGGAACUCUGAUGCAGCGACGCCGCGUGAGCGAUGAAGGAAUUCGUUUCGUAAAGCUCUGUUCUAUGGGAAGAAAAGGACUGUACCAUAGGAGAAAGCCCCGGCUAAAUACGUG